rnacentral:rRNA from 1 species
UACGUCCUACGGGAGAAAGCAGGGGACCUUCGGGCCUUGCGCUAUCAGAUGAGCCUAGGUCGGAUUAGCUAGUUGGUGAGGUAAUGGCUCACCAAGGCUGCGAUCCGUAACUGGUCUGAGAGGAUGAUCAGUCACACUGGGACUGAGACACGGCCCAGACUCCUACGGGAGGCAGCAGUGGGGAAUAUUGGGCAAUGGGCGCAAGCCUGACCCAGCAACGCCG